rnacentral:lncRNA from 1 species
UUGGUUUUCCAGGAUCACCCAAAACCUAAGUUGGUUUUCCGGGCUCACCAACAACCUACAUUGGUUUUGCGAGCUCACCAACAACCUACACCGUUGGUUUUACGGGCUCACCAAUAAACCUUACAAGGAAUUGAAAGAAAAGAGUUUAAAGCUUCUAAAUGAGCAAAUAUAACAAGUAUGCACUAAAAGAAGAGAUAGAAAAUAAUUAUCGCUUUGAAGAUGCUCUUCUCUUCUUUGCUCAAGUUACUUCACUUCUCAAGGGGUUGGUAGAGCUCUUGAAUGCACUUGAAGAUUGCGCAACCACCUUCUUUUGGAGUUUGAAUGAAGCAACUUGAUGAAGAAGACUUGAACUUGCUUUCUCUUGAAUGCACUCUCUUGUUUUUGCAAAAGGUACUUUUUACUUGAAAAAUAGACCUCUUAAAUACUUCUCCAACCUCAGAUGAUCACUCCCUAGGUGUUGGAAUGGAGAAACUAGCCAUUUCUAGCCAUUGGGGACUUAAAAAGUAUAUCUGCAGAACUAGUCGUUAUGCUGUCAGCCGUGCUGGGGUCGACCCAAGUUACUGUUCCACAGACUGAGGUCGGCUCAUGUUUUACUGGGGUCGGCUCCUGCUACAGUGGGAUCGACUCAAGCUU